GGGCUGUAGCUCAGUGGUAGAGGGCUUGCCUAGCAUGCAUAAGGUCUUGGGUUUGAUACCCCAGCACCA
rnacentral:tRNA from 1 species